rnacentral:rRNA from 1 species
UCGUAACAAGGUCUCCGUUGGUGAACCAGCGGAGGGAUCAUUACUGAGUUUACGCUCUACAACCCUUUGUGAACAUACCUAUAACUGUUGCUUCGGCGGGUAGGGUCUCCGCGACCCUCCCGGCCUCCCGCCUCCGGGCGGGUCGGCGCCCGCCGGAGGAUAACCAAACUCUGAUUUAACGACGUUUCUUCUGAGUGGUACAAGCAAAUAAUCAAAACUUUUAACAACGGAUCUCUUGGUUCUGGCAUCGAUGAAGAACGCAGCGAAAUGCGAUAAGUAAUGUGAAUUGCAGAAUUCAGUGAAUCAUCGAAUCUUUGAACGCACAUUGCGCCCGCCAGCAUUCUGGCGGGCAUGCCUGUUCGAGCGUCAUUUCAACCCUCAAGCUCUGCUUGGUGUUGGGGCCCUACAGCUGAUGUAGGCCCUCAAAGGUAGUGGCGGACCCUCUCGGAGCCUCCUUUGCGUAGUAACUUUACGUCUCGCACUGGGAUCCGGAGGGACUCUUGCCGUAAAACCCCCAAUUUUCCAAAGGUUGACCUCGGAUCAGGUAGGAAUACCCGCUGAACUUAAGCAUAUCAAUA